rnacentral:misc_RNA from 1 species
GAUGAAGAACGCAGCGAAAUGCGAUAAGUAAUGUGAAUUGCAGAAUUCAGUGAAUCAUCGAAUCUUUGAACGCACAUUGCGCCCGCCAGUAUUCUGGCGGGCAUGCCUGUCUGAGCGUCAUUUCAACCCUCAUGCCCCUAGGGCGUGGUGUUGGGGAUCGGCCAAAGCCCGCGAGGGACGGCCGGCCCCUAAAUCUAGUGGCGGACCCGUCGUGGCCUCCUCUGCGAAGUAGAGAUAUUCCGCAUCGGAGAGCGAUGAGCCCCUGCCGUUAAACCCCCAACUUUCCAAGGUUGACCUCAGAUCAGGUAGGAAUACCCGCUGAACUUAAGCAUAUCAAUAAGCGGAGGA